rnacentral:rRNA from 1 species
AUUGAACGCUGGCGGCAGGCCUAACACAUGCAAGUCGAACGAGUGGCGGACGGGUGAGUAAUGUCUGGGAAACUGCCCGAUGGAGGGGGAUAACUACUGGAAAAGGUAGAUAAUAACGCAUACCAUAGGAUGGGCCCCAAUGGGCUGAGCUAGGAGGUGGGGUAACGGCUCACCUAGGCGACGAUCCCUAGCUGGUCUGAGAGGAUGACCAGCCACACUGGAACUGAGACACGGUCCAGACUCCUACGGGAGGCAGCAGUGGGGAAUAUUGCACAAUGGGCGCAAGCCUGAUGCAGCCAUGCCGCGUGUAUGAAGAAGGCCUUCGGGUUGUAAAGUACUUUCAGCGAGGAGGCGUUACUCGCAGAAGAAGCAUCGGCUAACUCCGUGCCAGCAGCCGCGGUAAUUC